UGGACUCUCCUGAUCAGCCUGGGAAAAGUCUGAGCAAAGUCUUCAGGGGCAAAUACAGCUUACUCAGACAAAAAAGCCAGUCAGUGGCAAGUCUAGGCAGAAGCCAGGAGGUGUUAGGAACAGACUAGAAGACAUGGUUGUUCUGGAGGAAAAAGGGUAAAACUUAAGAUAACUGUAAAAAUUAAGGGACUGCUACUAUGUGCUGUUAAGGAAAUAACAGGCACCUGGGAAAACCCACCAAGUAAGGUUUUGUAAGAAGUUGCUCUGCUCCCCGCGAGAAAAUGCCGAGCUCAACAGGCCAAGAGGAACAAGUCUGGGAAAUUACGACAUGAGAUGUGACCACAUGUUGAUGACCUCAUGUAAGCUGUGGAAGAAUUCCAUUGUGUCUGGGGAGAUAAUACAGAUGGAGUUUCGUUCUUUUGCCCAGGCUGGAG